AGCCAAUAGUUCUCAUCUCCUGUGAUUUGCACGUUGGUAAAAAUGUCCAAGUGACAUUAGUUUAGCUUUUCAUUCUUCUAAGUAGUGUUUAUGGUUAUCCAUUUUAGCUUGCAAAUUUGGAUGAAUUUGUGGGUUAUUGGUUCAGUAUAUGAGUAGCAGUAAUUUCUCAAAUUUACAGAAUUGUUAUGCUUGAGAACUAUUGGCUUUCUAUGCUCUGUCGAAGGUCUUGUUUGCUACCGAUUUAGCCUCAUUGCUGUGCCUUAACAAGCUCACACACUGUCUGCCAUCAAUACUUGGUAAUUUCCAUUGAGUCAUUAUUAACCAUAAAAGAAGUUUGCUACACCGAAAUGUUCUUGGGAUUUCUAUCUUAAUUUAAUUUUUCAUAUCCUCCGUAAUUGUACUCUUAUAUGUCUGGUAUUAAUUUUACUGCUUGAUUUAGGGGAGUAGAUGAUUGUGGGCAGAAAGGAGUUUGCUACACCGAUAUGUUCUUGGGAUUUCUAUCUUAAUUUAUUUUUUAUUAUUUGCAGAUUUUGUUCUUGUGGAUAUGAAUUUCGUGAUAAUUUAUGCCAUUAUCUAAUCAGUUUAGAGGACUGAAAUAGAAUGUAACAUCUGCAACGGAGACCUGAGGAAUAACAUGAACAUUGCGAACCAAGGUAGCACUUUCUCGACAACAAGCCAAUUGAAGUGAUCGUAUGUUUGCUUAUUUAGACUCCCUAGGGAUGAUGAAAUCUUUUUGUUCAAAUGUAGUUGUUCUUAGAAUUAGUUGUAGAAUGACUGUCAAAACAAAUGGUUAUGAGCUAGAUCAAUUUUGUACUUUGUUGUUCAGUAUAACUGUUGUGGACAUGCUAAUACAUGAAUGAAUCAAUAUUUGUUUGUA